GAUGAACGCUGGCGGCGUGCCUAAUACAUGCAAGUCGAGCGAACAGACGAGGAGCUUGCUCCUCUGACGUUAGCGGCGGACGGGUGAGUAACACGUGGAUAACCUACCUAUAAGACUGGGAUAACUUCGGGAAACCGGAGCUAAUACCGGAUAAUAUAUUGAACCGCAUGGUUCAAUAGUGAAAGACGGUUUUGCUGUCACUUAUAGAUGGAUCCGCGCCGCAUUAGCGAGUUGGUAAGGUAACGGCUUACCAAGGCAACGAUGCGUAGCCGACCUGAGAGGGUGCUCGGCCACACUGGAACUGAGACACGGUCCAGACUCCUACGGGAGGCAGCAGUAGGGAAUCUUCCGCAAUGGGCGAAAGCUUGACGGAGCAACGCCGCGUGAGUGAUGAAGGUCUUCGGAUCGUAAAACUCUGUUAUUAGGGAAGAACAAAUGUGUAAGUAACUAUGCACGUCUUGACGGUACCUAAUCAGAAAGCCACGGCUAACUACGUG
rnacentral:rRNA from 1 species